AAACUGGGCAUCGUACCUGAUCCGAGGUCACCUUGGAAAAAGAUUGAUUUGCGUUCGGCAAGCGCCGGCCGGGCCUACAGAGCGGGUGACAAAGCCCCAUACGCUCGAGGAUCGGACGCGGUGCCGCCGCUGCCUUUGGGGCCCGUCCCCCCCGGAGAGGGGACGACGACCCAACACACAAGCCGUGCUUGAUGGGCAGCAAUGACGCUCGGACAGGCAUGCCCCCCGGAAUACCAGGGGGCGCAAUGUGCGUUCAAAGACUCGAUGAUUCACGGAAUUCUGCAAUUCACACUAGUUAUCGCAUUUCGCUGCGUUCUUCAUCGAUGCCGGAACCAAGAGAUCCAUUGUUGAAAGUUUUAACUGAUUGCGAUACAAUCAACUCAGACUUCACUAGAUCAGACAGAGUUCGUGGUGUCUCCGGCGGGCGCGGGCCCGGGGCUGAGAGCCCCCGGCGGCCAUGAAUGGCGGGCCCGCCGAAGCAACUAAGGUACAGUAAACACGGGUGGGAGGUUGGGCUCGCUAGGAACCCUACACUCGGGAAGGAUCCUUCCGCAGGUUCACCUACCGAAAGGCGGGGACCAAGCGAGUCCAAUCUCAACCAAGUUUUUUGUUCCCUAUUUUGUUUGGCUGCGACAAUAUUAUCGUUCUAUUGGAAGC
rnacentral:misc_RNA from 1 species